rnacentral:rRNA from 1 species
UGAGUUUGAUCCUGGCUCAGGACGAACGCUGGCGGCGUGCUUAACACAUGCAAGUCGAACGAUGAAGCCCUUCGGGGUGGAUUAGUGGCGAACGGGUGAGUAACACGUGGGAAAUCUGCCCUGCACUCUGGGACAAGCCUUGGAAACGAGGUCUAAUACCGGAUAACACUCCUCUGGGCAUCUGGAGGGGUUAAAAGCUCCGGCGGUGCAGGAUGAUCCCGCGGCCUAUCAGCUUGUUGGUGGGGUAAUGGCCUACCAAGGCGACGACGGGUAGCCGGCCUGAGAGGGCGACCGGCCACACUGGGACUGAGACACGGCCCAGACUCCUACGGGAGGCAGCAGUGGGGAAUAUUGCACAAUGGGCGAAAGCCUGAUGCAGCGACGCCGCGUGAGGGAUGACGGCCUUCGGGUUGUAAACCUCUUUCAGCAGGGAAGAAGCGAGAGUGACGGUACCUGCAGAAGAAGCGCCGGCUAACUACGUGCCAGCAGCCGCGGUAAUACGUAGGGCGCAAGCGUUGUCCGGAAUUAUUGGGCGUAAAGAGCUCGUAGGCGGCUUGUCGCGUCGGAUGUGAAAGCCCGGGGCUUAACCCCGGGUCUGCAUUCGAUACGGGCAGGCUAGAGUUCGGUAGGGGAGAUCGGAAUUCCUGGUGUAGCGGUGAAAUGCGCAGAUAUCAGGAGGAACACCGGUGGCGAAGGCGGAUCUCUGGGCCGAUACUGACGCUGAGGAGCGAAAGCGUGGGGAGCGAACAGGAUUAGAUACCCUGGUAGUCCACGCCGUAAACGUUGGGAACUAGGUGUGGGCGACAUUCCACGUCGUCCGUGCCGCAGCUAACGCAUUAAGUUCCCCG